GAAUAAGCCUGUAACGUAACAAACUUUUGAAAAGGUAAAGGGGUCUGAAUACUUUCCGAAUGCACUGUAUAGAGAGCGAGAGAGAGAGCAGAGUUUUCCAUCGUAUUCCCCCAUGUUAGGCUAGCUUCCUCUCUGUAGUGUAUGUAGGUCUUUGUUAACAAAUAUUUACGGUGUGAUUUUUUGAUAACACUUUACAUUACAGUGCUCUUAUUACUGUGUAAUUAGUCCUGUAAGUACAAUUUAAGUAUUGCAAUUACUCAUUACAAUCAUUACAUUGUACCUAGGGUAGGUUACUGCUGUAAGUUAGUGUAAGUACAAUGUAACAAUGAGUAAUUACAAUACUUGUUCAUCUGCACGUACAGGUAUAAUUACACAGUAAUAAGGGCACUGUAAUGUAAAGUGUUACAGAUUUUUCAAAAUGGUGGAACUAAAUACAUAAAGUGCUUUUAUUCUAAAUUGUCAAACUAUUUGUCUCAUAUAUUCAUUAUUUGAUUUUCAUAGACAAUACUCACUUUUGAUGAUGAGAAUCAUCACAGUCCUCAUCAUGCAUUGUAACAGGAACAGCCUCCCAGUCCUCACUUACAGAAAACUUAAAACAUGAAAUGAAAGUGUUGGGGGUGUGGUGGAGCACAAUAACCAUUUCCUAAAAUGUUUACCCCCAGACAUAUCAGUCAGAAAAGCACAUUAAGAAUGUAUUUCUCAGAACAGCGACUAGAUUUACUGAUCCUUCGCAUGUUUUGACUAAAAUGUAAAUGUUCAACUUUCACUGUCACAGUGUACUUGCAAAAAUCUCAUGAAUUUGAUGAAGAACAUUGUGUUUUAUUCCACAGUGUUUGUUAACAGAAAUGUAUUUGUUCCAUGACCUCUGCACUGCAUGGAGCUGUUCAUUUCCAGUAUCUAUUCAAUAGAACUGUGCUAUUGGCUGUUCUAUGAGCAAAUACAAAACGUUAAAUGGAGGAAUCUUGAAAACAUGAGAGCAGUUUUUUUUUAAACAUUCUGAUGCAGUUCAAACCAUGGCUUGAUGGGCUCUUGGUGGCCCUCUGUUUCCUGUACCAGUGGUAGGUGGACUUGUUACCCACAGAAAAAAAUAAAUGUGUUGAUGCAUUCACAUCCUAUGGACAGUUCUUUCAGGAACUGACAGGAAACAAUGAAAAAGAGAACAGCUCUAACAAUUCUAUGUUGUGAGUAGAAAUGUAUUUUAUCCACUUGGGAGAUACAUUGUAUAUAUUUGAUUAAGUUUCAGUAUUCUGUUAAUUAAUAAGGGUUAAAACCUUUAAAUGUCCAUGCUCUGAGGCUUUGGGAGCAGGUCAAAAUGAGAUUCUAGUGAAACCAGGGGACACAUCGGCUGUGACAUUACCCUGGAGGACGAGAUCAUGUGGUUUUUGAGGCAGUGUAUUACACAGGCCUGUUCAGAAGCAAUCUGAGCAUACUGACCAUCUCAGAGAGCGACGUGGGUCUGUACUACUGUGUUGAGCAGAGGGCUAACAUAUUUGAGAUCGGAAGUGGGACCAAGCACUCCCUUAUCAGUGGUGAUCAGCUCUCUACUACUGUUGUUGGAAUGAAGUUGUCAUGGUUUAUCACCUUGAUCAUAGCCCCCAUGUUCUUUGUGCUGGGGUCCGUUCUCGGUGUCUGCCUGUUGACGACCUGAUCCUGACAAAUGUGGAUUCUGGAACAACUUGGUUGAAGCCUGCCAUCUAGUGGACCAAUAUCCAGAAAAGCACAAAUUAUGUG